UAAUAAUGUUUUUAAUAACAUCUUGUAUACCAAUUUGAAGAUUUCGAUUAAAUCAAUAAGGCUCUCAAAGUUAGGACUAUCUCAAACGUACCAUUAAAUAUGACCAGCAAUUUUCAACUUUAUCUUUACUUUUCAUUAUGAUUUAAUUAUCUUUCAAAGUUUAGGAAAUGAACCCAUCAUCGGUAAAACACUUUUCAAUAACCUUUUUUUUCCCCUACCUUUUCUAGUCGCCUUGAGGGGGGAACCUAGCGAAAUUGCCACGGAAUAGAUAAAUAAGGUUGGAAUGGUAAUGUAGGCGGGGCAAGCGUGCCACAGUUAUGAUAGAACAAACAUAACUCGACCGAUUCUUUCAUUCACCGCGUUUAGUGCGCUUCGGACUACUUGGCGAACAGAUCUCCGCUUUAUAGUGCCGUGUUGUGCAAUUAUAACUUGUAAAACAAAAAAUCAGACCUCAAGUAUAGAGCGAGGAGGUAUAUCUUUCGAUCGCAAGUUAUAAAUAGCAUACAUUGCGCGAUGUGUACUCGCCCAAUGAACGCAAUGACCAAGUCAGCUUCCAAUGUACUACAUGCAUUGCGUUCUCUACACUUCAAUCUUUGAAAUUUCGGCCUUUGCCCUGAUUGGCCGUGCAGUUUGUCGAUAGUGAGGUGACCAUGUGGUAAAAUUAUCGACAGAAUUCUCGACUAUAUUUACAUUUGACAUGGAUAAUUUUUGCAUUAUUUUAUAUUUAAUUAAUGAUACCUAGUAUAUUCUUAGUGAGACGUAUUUUGAGUAAAAUAAAUAUGUAUUAUUAUUAUUGAAUUAUUAUCAUUGAAUUAAAGUGAAGGUAUAAUAUAAAGGGACAUGUAGACCUCUAAUUUACGGGUAUUUACUAUAUUGUCUAAGACGUAUUAAAAUCUAAGUAAAAUGCUAUUUGACUUAUGCAGUAAAUUAAAAAUUUUAGGUUUCCUAAAGAACCUAACGCCAGGGAACAAUGGAUUGACGUGACAGGUAGAGGAAACUGGAGACAAAGACGAGUACUAUUUGCUCUAAACAUUUUACUGAAAAUGAUUUUAUCAUAAAAAAAAUCAGAAUACACUUAGUUUUGAAAAAUUCAUUCGCAAUUAAUAGCAAGCGCCAACUGCUUAACAAAUACGUUUUAUUCCAGCGACAGUGACUAUUUGUAAUUAAUAAAAGUAAAAUAGUUUUUUUUUUUCAAUAUUUA